rnacentral:rRNA from 1 species
AUACGGAGGAUGCAAGCGUUAUCCGGAUUUAUUGGGUUUAAAGGGUGCGUAGGCGGUUUGCUAAGCGGGAGGUGAAAUGCCGGCGCUCAACGUCGGAAGUGCCUCCCGAACUGGUGGACUGGAAUGACUCUGCCGUGGGAGGAAUGUGUAGUGUAGCGGUGAAAUGCUUAGAGAUUACACAGAACACCGAUUGCGAAGGCAUCUCACGAAGGGUUGAUUGACGCUGAGGCACGGAAGCGUGGGGAUCAAACAGGAUUAGAUACCCUGGUAGUCCACGCAGUAAACGAUGAUGGCUAACCGCUGGGCUUAUCAGUUCAGUGGCCAAGCGAAAGCGAUAAGCCAUCCACCUGGGGAGUACGACCGCAAGGUUGAAACUCAAAUGAAUUGACGGGG